GUGCAUCGUGAUGGGGAUAGAUUAUUGUAAUUAUUAAUCUUCAACGAGGAAUUCCUAGUAGGUGCAUGUCAUCAGCAUGCGCCGAUUACGUCCCUGCCCUUUGUACACACCGCCCGUCGCUCCUACCGAUUGAAUGUUCCGGUGAAUUAUUCGGACUGUGUUUUAGUAGCAAUAUUAGAAUAUGGGAAGUCUUGUGAACCUUAACAUUUAGAGGAAGGAAAAGUCGUAACAAGGUUUCCGUAGGCUUCUGAAAACUGUGGCGG
rnacentral:rRNA from 1 species